rnacentral:pre_miRNA from 1 species
AGCAGAAUUGCUGGGUUAUAUGGUAAGCACAUGUUUAACUUUUCAAGAAAGUUCCAAACUGCUUUCCAAAGUGGCUGAACCAUUUUAAAUACCCACCAGAAAU